GGGCCCGCACAAGCGGUGGAGCAUGUGGUUUAAUUCGAUGAUACGCGAGGAACCUUACCAGGACUUAAAUGUAAGUUGCAUGAUUCAGAAAUGAAUCUUUCUUCGGACUACUUACAAGGUGCUGCAUGGUUGUCGUCAGCUCGUGCCGUGAGGUGUCAGGGUUAAGUCCUAUAACGAGCGCAACCCCUAUCGUUAGUUGCCAGCAGUUCGGCUGGGCACUCUAUGGAAACUGCCCGUGAUAAGCGGGAGGAAGGUGUGGAUGACGUCAAGUCCUCAUGGCCCUUACGGGUUGGGCUACACACGUGCUACAAUGGCAUCUACAGUGGGU
rnacentral:rRNA from 1 species